rnacentral:lncRNA from 1 species
UAAAAUGUUCGAUGGACUUUCAAUGCUAUUUUCAUAGUUCAUGAAAGUCAAUGUAGAUAUUUUAAAGAAAAAUAGCUUUUCUGCACUUAUGAUCCUUAGCUUGUCGUGGUUUCAGGGUCCGUCGUUUGCAUUUUGGCAGAAAUGGUCAUUUCCACUCAUAGUCGUCCUACCUGGUCAUGCGAAUUGCACAUGCCUUAUUUUGUAAAGGAUACAAAAUUAUUGAUGGAAUGCAUAAGAAAUGUAUGUUGUUAAGUAGUGCAAUCAAUAAUAGUUUGCAAUUUUUCCAUGCAAUAGAAGCUAUUGACCUCAAAAAAUAUACCUCCAACGUGGCUAACAGAUCUCAAGAGCUCUCAAUCUAAACAAUCUGUAUUCCUGCACAUUAGGACAAACUGUUAACCAUGCAUGACCUUCUCUGAUGGAGUGGAACCGACGGCGCGCACUCCGACGGUCAAGUCAGUUUGGGAAGAACUAUGUAGGAUGUGGGAAGGCUUUUAACGUGAGCCUCUAAUAUCAAAUAAAGGGGAUCGAUAUUGGGAGUAAAGUAGAAAAUAUAGAGAGCAAAGUUAAAGUCUCAAAGUCUAAACUUGCAUUACAUUUCAAUGGCAUUCACUGUGAUCAUUUAUAUUGUAAGAGAGUGAGUGAGAACCGUCGGACGAGAGAACACGUGGCCUCAUUCAUGAGAAUUUAACUUCCCAACAUGGGUGUCCAUCAAUCUUGAGACAUAAAUGUUAAUGCCAAUUUAUCUUCCAUAAGUCGUAGUUUGUGGCGGUAAACUUGACCAAAUAGGUUGCGUGUGGUGCUGGAGUUGUCACAUCAAUCACUUCAAUAAAUAUGAUUCAAAAGGUUUUCUACCAGGUUCUUUCUUCAGCUUUGCCCCUGCUUGAGGGGUUCAGCCUCAAGAGUUCGGCUACAACAUGGGUUCGUCCACGGGGUUUUGCCACCUCAAGAGCUUGGCUACAACAUGGGUUUGGCCAUAACAUAGGUUCCUCACGGGGUUUUGCCACCUCAAGAGCUCAACUUCAACAUGGGUUUGGCCAUAAUAUAGGUUCAUCCACGAGGUUCCGCCACCUGAUUCGCAUAUGUGGGUUUGUCCACGUGGGGUCGACUGCCACAUGGGACAUAACUAGGGCCUUGUUGGGAAAGGUAUAAUAGAAGCAGUGGCGGAUUCAGGAAAAAUUUCAACACGGGCUAAUAUGUAUUAAAAAUAUAUAUAUUGCACAUAAAAAGAAAAAAUUAAGAAUAAAAUAUUUUACUUAAUUUUUUUUUUAAUGGACAUUUGAGCUGAAGGGACAGGUUGUAGCACGGCUCAGCCCGUCCCUGGAUCCGCCCAUGAACAGAAGCN